GUGCUCAACUGGGCAGCUCAGACACUCAGACUGGACCACUACAGAGAUGACUGGCAAGGUAGCUGCCAAGGAUGGCACACAUAUUCAUGAAGUGUUUCAUAGUUUU
ensembl:snRNA Gm55001 U6 spliceosomal RNA